AAACCAUGCACCGAAGCUGCGGCAGCGACACUCAGGUGUUGUUGGGUAGGGGAGCGUUCUGUAAGCCUGCGAAGGUGGCCUGUGAGGGUUGCUGGAGGUAUCAGAAGUGCGAAUGCUGACAUAAGUAACGAUAAAGCGGGUGAAAAGCCCGCUCGCCGGAAGACCAAGGGUUCCUGUCCAACGUUAAUCGGGGCAGGGUGAGUCGACCCCUAAGGCGAGGCCGAAAGGCGUAGUCGAUGGGAAACGGGUUAAUAUUCCCGUACUUGGUGUUACUGCGAAGGGGGGACGGAGAAGGCUAUGUUGGCCGGGCGACGGUUGUCCCGGUUUAAGCGUGUAGGUGUGUGUUCCAGGUAAAUCCGGUUCACUUUAACACUGAGGCGUGACGACGAGGCACUACGGUGCUGAAGCAACAAAUGCCCUGCUUCCAGGAAAAGCCUCUAAGCAUCAGGUAACAUCAAAUCGUACCCCAAACCGACACAGGUGGUCAGGUAGAGAAUACCAAGGCGCUUGAGAGAACUCGGGUGAAGGAACUAGGCAAAAUGGUGCCGUAACUUCGGGAGAAGGCACGCUGACAUGUAGGUGAAGUGAUUUACUCAUGGAGCUGAAGUCAGUCGAAGAUACCAGCUGGCUGCAACUGUUUAUUAAAAACACAGCACUGUGCAAACACGAAAGUGGACGUAUACGGUGUGACGCCUGCCCGGUGCCGGAAGGUUAAUUGAUGGGGUCAGCGCAAGCGAAGCUCCUGAUCGAAGCCCCGGUAAACGGCGGCCGUAACUAUAACGGUCCUAAGGUAGCGAAAUUCCUUGUCGGGUAAGUUCCGACCUGCACGAAUGGCGUAAUGAUGGCCAGGCUGUCUCCACCCGAGACUCAGUGAAAUUGAACUCGCUGUGAAGAUGCAGUGUACCCGCGGCAAGACGGAAAGACCCCGUGAACCUUUACUAUAGCUUGACACUGAACAUUGAGCCUUGAUGUGUAGGAUAGGUGGGAGGCUUUGAAGUGUGGACGCCAGUCUGCAUGGAGCCGACCUUGAAAUACCACCCUUUAAUGUUUGAUGUUCUAACGUGGACCCGUGAUCCGGGUUGCGGACAGUGUCUGGUGGGUAGUUUGACUGGGGCGGUCUCCUCCUAAAGAGUAACGGAGGAGCACGAAGGUUGGCUAAUCCUGGUCGGACAUCAGGAGGUUAGUGCAAUGGCAUAAGCCAGCUUGACUGCGAGCGUGACGGCGCGAGCAGGUGCGAAAGCAGGUCAUAGUGAUCCGGUGGUUCUGAAUGGAAGGGCCAUCGCUCAACGGAUAAAAGGUACUCCGGGGAUAACAGGCUGAUACCGCCCAAGAGUUCAUAUCGACGGCGGUGUUUGGCACCUCGAUGUCGGCUCAUCACAUCCUGGGGCUGAAGUAGGUCCCAAGGGUAUGGCUGUUCGCCAUUUAAAGUGGUACGCGAGCUGGGUUUAGAACGUCGUGAGACAGUUCGGUCCCUAUCUGCCGUGGGCGCUGGAGAACUGAGGGGGGCUGCUCCUAGUACGAGAGGACCGGAGUGGACGCAUCACUGGUGUUCGGGUUGUCAUGCCAAUGGCACUGCCCGGUAGCUAAAUGCGGAAGAGAUAAGUGCUGAAAGCAUCUAAGCACGAAACUUGCCCCGAGA
rnacentral:rRNA from 1 species